rnacentral:rRNA from 1 species
GUCCACGCCGUAAACGAUGAGAACUAGCCGUUGGACCCUUGAGGGUUUAGUGGCGUAGCUAACGCGAUAAGUUCUCCGCCUGGGAGUACGGCCGCAAGGCUAAACUCAAAUGAAUUGACGGGCCCGCACAAGCGGUGGAGCAUGUUGUUUAAUUCGAUGCAACGCGAAGAACCUUACCACCCCUUGACAUCCUCGGAACUUGGCAGAGAUGCCUUGGUGCCUUCGGGAACCGAGUGACAGGUGCUGCAUGGCUGUCGU